CUGUAAGAACCAAAAAGAAAAGAAAGAGAAAGAGAGUGUGAGAAUAAAUAGUAAGUUAAAAAUUGGGUACCAUCAAUAUUAUGAGGUAUCAGUAUUGGAAAUGGGCAAAAGUGAGGAGUAUAAAAAAAUUUAGGAUUAAUAUACUAUAGGUUCUUAACUUGUGUUUUAUAAUAUUAGUAUCAUGUUUUAGGUUGUUUUCGCCUUGUAUUUCUAUUAUUAGGAAUACGGCAGUAAUGUCUUGUAAACUCUUUAUUACCCUAUAAUAAACAAAAGAUGUAAUAUUUGGUUCGAU